rnacentral:sRNA from 1 species
GCACUCUCUUUGUGGGCAACCUUGAAACGAAAGUGACCGAGGAGCUCCUUUUCGAGCUUUUCCACCAGGCUGGGCCAGUAAUAAAGGUGAAAAUUCCAAAAGAUAAGGAUGGUAAACCAAAGCAGUUUGCGUUUGUGAAUUUCAAACAUGAAGUAUCUGUUCCUUAUGCAAUGAAUCUACUUAAUGGAAUCAAACUUUAUGGAAGGCCUAUCAAAAUUCAAUUUAGAUCAGGUAACUGUCCAAUGAGGUUAGGGGGGCAUUGUUUCCUGCUGUUUUUAAAUUUAUUAUUCAGUUUUAAAGAACCUCUUAUUUGUAGACGAAACUUCUUUCUUAAGCAUCGUGAAUAGCAAACUUUGUAUAGCAAAUUUUAUAUAUCCCUGAAAACGGGUAGCAUUGACACAUGGAUUUUGAAAUUAUAAUUUUAAAACUGAGCUUAAAGUUUCAUUUUGGGUUAGUGAAAAGAACAUAAACUGUAUUACUAAGAGAGCUGGGCUUGGGUGCUCUGAAAAGAGCUAGGUUUAUUUUCUGAAAAUACUUUUCCUGGCUGCUUUGUAAUUACUUUUAUGU